CCAACAAAUUAUCCACUGCCCAAUUGCGCCCCCGCCUUCCUUCCCCACCGCUGUGCUCCCCUCUCCCCAUAGACGCCUCCUACCCUCUGACGCCGCCCCGCGCGAUGGACGCCAUCUCUCCCCUAUUUCCCUCUUCACCUCCACGGCCACGCCGCAUCGCCGGCCAAGCCCCGCUGCGGUGGCUAUGAUCCGCCACGCCGCCCCAUAGCCCCACACCCAAAGCUGCAGCCGAGAUGCAUCUGAGCGAGAACGAGGGGAUUGAGGGCGUGCGGUUCGCGGUGACUGUCGGGCAGGGCUUCGUCGGUGCCGCGCUAUGCCUGGAGCUGAUCCGCCGCGGCGCCCUGGAGGUCUGCUCCCUCGACAGCUCGACCUGCGCGAUUCCUCCGCUUGGUCCCAGCAGCUCCUCGACGCCGGCGUCCGCUUCUUACAAGGUUCUCUCCCUCACUCUCUUUUGCUUAAAUUAUUGUGUUUUUUUUCUGUCGCCAUGAGUGGGCGUGAGACUUAAAUGCAGCGUCGCAGCGAAGAAGGUAAUUUGUUUUUCUGUCCAAUGCAUUGAAGCUAUAAUGUACGUGCUUAGUAAAUUGUUUAGGGCGGUGUGAGACUUAUAAUGCCUGCCAACUUAGUGAAUUGAUAAACCUGGAAGUUUGUGUUUUUCACUUCACUUGAAUUUGCACAAUUCAGUUAUGUGUUCAUUGAAUGGAUUUGACAUGACAUUUCCUGCAAGCAAUGAGGGAAGUAGAUGGGCAUGGCUGAUUUGUUCGUCAUGCAGUUAUGUGCUAUCUUAUUCCUUGAUGCUGAGUGUGAGUCCAUGCAUGUGCAAGCUAUAUGUACUCUUAGUCUAUUAGUGUUCUCUAACUUAUUUCCUACUAUUCCUGUAUGGUACCACUUCUUCCCUAGCAAGGAUAUGUGAGCCUAUUAACCUUAUGUUGUCUGUCAAUGUCAGAUUUAGAACCCAACAAAGAAAUAUGGCAGAAAUUUGCAUAUUAACCUUUCUUGUGCAGGUUCGAGAUAUAAAGGUCAUACAGAUGCUUCUUUGCCAUGAGUCUGUAAACUUGAUGAGGCAACAUGGUCUUCAAGCACAAGAAAUACCCAUGUACGUGAGUGUGGGCUGCCGCUCCGCCCUCCACUCCUCUGCUUGACCACCGCCACCGCCACGUUGAAGCCCCUUGCCACCUAGCGGCAUGCUUUCUCGAGGAUCAGCAGCUAAUGGCAAACGCGCCAGCGAGCCCCGAGUGCGCUGGACCGUGCAACAUGAAGAAGACCAUCUGGACAAAGGGCAGGUACACGAAUAGCCAAGAACACAAGGAUACGUGCGGGUCUGCGUUUCUGAGGUAUAUCUCUUUUAGCACUAGCGACUAAAUGGUCUGUAGCUGGUCAGGCGUGCUUGCCUAAAAUGUACUUUAGUAGUUGCUAGAGCCAUGCUAGCUUCUAUGUUGUUCUUGCAGCCUCAACUAGCUUAUUUCAUUUGAAGCAAAUGUUGUUCUAUCCUUCCAAUUAAUGUUAUUCAGAUCUUCUUUUCUUUUUUCUAUUGUCAUUCACAAUACAAAUGUUAUGAGAAUUUCAGGAAUUUUGUCAUAUCUUUCUCCCAGUUACCUUAAUUUUGUAAAUUGUGGUCUAAUUCAAUUUUGAGUUUGUUUUCAGAAAAGCCUACUUUAAAGCUGUGUAAAUCCAUUAUUUCCUUUGAGUUUGCCGUGGAGGUGAGUUGGGAACCUUUUUUUAUACUUGGUGGAUGCACUGAUUUAGGGUGCGUUUGGUUAGGGAACGAAGUGGAAUGGAAUGUCAUGGUUCCGUUCUAGUAGAAUGGGUCGGUUCCAUCCUUGUGUUCGGUAUAUGCAAAUCUAAGGAAUGGAAUGGUUAUGUUUUAGUGUUUGGUUUCAGAUAUCUGAUGAAAUGGAUUUGUUCAUCCCUACACUUGUCUGCUUGUGAUUAUGUAGAAUAUAUUGAACUUUGAACUGGAUUUCAGUCAAUCAAAAACCAUCGGAUGCAUUGGCACACACAUAUGGGCAAGAUUAAGCUGAAUUAGAAAAGAGCGGUGCAUACACUGAAUCAGAUUUCAGAACACCAAAUACAGCUGGUUUCAGUCAAAUGGUUGAUCUCGGCAAGACAAAGACUGAAUUGGAUGGGGAGCUCAACAGUACAGGCCUUAGCCCCAAUCGUCGGCGCACUGGUUGGGCUCGCUGGGCGCCGGCACAGGACUGGAGACACCUGGGCGCGAAGACCACGCCGAGCGGUGCACAAGGCCGCACAGCUGCGCAUACUACAGAUCAACGCCGUCGCUCGCGGCCAUCCAGCGCGGCCGUCUCGUGAUGCAUGAGGCCAUGCAGGAGCUGCUCGUGCACUCUGGUACAAAUCUACGCCGCUGCCCUCCUCCAUUAGCCGCCGUCUCUUGGUGCCCGUCGUCGCUCGCCUCCAUCCAGCGCCGUCUUUCGGUGCCCGCCGUGGCUCGCCUCCAUCCAGCGCCAUCUCUCGGUGCCCGCCGUUGCUCUCCUCCCUCCAACGCCGCCUAUUGCUACCCGCUGCCACUCGUGUCGAGAGAGGGAGAGGCGAUAGAGUUGCGGGAGUGCGAGGAGAACGACCGGUUUCAUGUGGUCCGCUCGAGUUGGAAGUAUGAGCGUGUUCCGCAUCUGAGAGGAAUAUUUGGUUCGUGGGAACUAGUCGGUUACCGUUCCAGCUCUAUGCCAAACACCAGAACGGGGCCUAGAAACGGGUCCGACCCAUGACAUUCCAGUUGAUGACUGCAACCAAACACACCCUUAGUGACGGAGACUUGCCUGAAUGUUAUUUUCCUCCGCGUGAAGUGCUUACAAUUCUCAAAGACUUCAACAAGUCCCGGAGGAGAUUGACAAGGUGCAGGCAAGAUCUCAAGUUCAUUGCUGUCUUUUUCUGUCUGAACAUUUUCUUAUUUGGAGUUGCAGCCGAUUUAUGGUGUAUCAACCGACUUGGCUUAGGAUGUAUUGUAGUUAGUUUGGUUGCAUCAACCAACAAGUCUUAUUAUGUAUUGCUAUUGGUUUGGUACCAUCAGACGACUGGCCAGUUGGAAAACCAGCGGGGAAAACAUGUACUGUGAGCUCCCCUCGCAUUCAUAAUUUGGAGCUUGAUAAACAAUGUUCUGUGAGCUUGUUAAUGAUCUGCUAUUUUUCACAAAAUUGGGACAUGUCUGAUGGUCGAUGUGAGGUUCUCUAAAUAAAAAAAUUCCUCAUUUGUCCAUUCUGAUAGUCUGAUGGAAUUUUGUUAAUAAGAACCUACAAUUCCUUGGGUAAGUUUGGGUUAGGAGUUCCGUAUAUAUGCGCCAGGAAAGUAUAUAGGGAAAUCAUGAUAUGCUUUUUCUGCAGUGCCAACACUGAAAAUGUAAAGUGUGUCCUGCAUGACUUUUAUAUGUGUUUUAGGAAUUGGAGGAUAGCUCUAUAAACAAAAUUCCUUAUUCUGCACUUCUCUGCUUUGCUUGGCAGGAAUCCUUGUUGUAAAGAGCGAAGGCAUGGUUUGGUUUGCAUGACAUUAUCUUCAAUUGGCUGGAGAUAUAUAAAUGUUGAUACUUGAUUUUCUCAUCUGGCAUCUUAUCACUUGUGUGAAACACACUUGAUUUUCUCAUAGUAAUAGUUCUCUAUUAUUGCUGAUACAUAAAUGGAUCUUUAUUCAAUGGUACUUGUAUGUGUGUAUGGAGAAUGGUGAUUAACCUUUUAAAUAAUCCAUUGUCCAACAAGGUGAUUCUAAUUUCUGAUUAGAUUAUACUAUAACAAUAUGAUUAGAAAAAAUUCAAACGGUUGUAUA